GACGAACGCUGGCGGCGUGCUUAACACAUGCAAGUCGAACGGAAAGGCCUGCUUUCCCUUGUGGAUUGCGGGUACUCGAGUGGCGAACGGGUGAGUAACACGUGAGUGAUCUGCCCCCAACUUGGGUAUAAGCCUGGGAAACUGGGUCUAAUUCCCGAUAGGACUGCAGGGUGGUGCCUGUGGUGGAAAACGAUUUUCUAGUGGUUGGGGAUGAGCUCGCGGCCUAUCAGCCUGUUGGUGGGGUAAUGGCCUACCAAGGCGGCGACGGGUAGCCGGCCUGAGAGGGUGGACGGCCACAUUGGGACUGAGAUACGGCCCAGACUCCUACGGGAGGCAGCAGUGGGGAAUAUUGCACAAUGGGCGGAAGCCUGAUGCAGCGACGCCGCGUGGGGGAUGACGGCCUUCGGGUUGUAAACUCCUUUCGACCGCGAGGAAGCCACCUGGUUGGAAGGGUGGUGACGGUAGUGGUAGAAGAAGCACCGGCUAACUACGU
rnacentral:rRNA from 1 species